GACGAACGCUGGCGGCGUGCCUAAUACAUGCAAGUAGAACGCUGAAGGAGGAGCUUGCUUCUCUGGAUGAGUUGCGAACGGGUGAGUAACGCGUAGGUAACCUGCCUGGUAGCGGGGGAUAACUAUUGGAAACGAUAGCUAAUACCGCAUAAGAUUGACUAUUGCAUGAUAGUCAGUUAAAAGGUGCAAUUGCAUCACUACCAGAUGGACCUGCGUUGUAUUAGCUAGUUGGUGGGGUAACGGCUCACCAAGGCGACGAUACAUAGCCGACCUGAGAGGGUGAUCGGCCACACUGGGACUGAGACACGGCCCAGACUCCUACGGGAGGCAGCAGUAGGGAAUCUUCGGCAAUGGACGGAAGUCUGACCGAGCAACGCCGCGUGAGUGAAGAAGGUUUUCGGAUCGUAAAGCUCUGUUGUAAGAGAAGAACGAGUGUGAGAGUGGAAAGUUCACACUGUGACGGUAGCUUACCAGAAAGGGACGGCUAACUACGUG
rnacentral:rRNA from 1 species